AUACAGAGGGUGCGAGCGUUAAUCGGAAUUACUGGGCGUAAAGCGCGCGUAGGCGGCUACUUAAGUCAGAUGUGAAAUCCCCGGGCUCAACCUGGGAACUGCAUCUGAUACUGGGCAGCUAGAGUUUAGGAGAGGGAAGUAGAAUUUCAGGUGUAGCGGUGAAAUGCAUAGAGAUCUGAAGGAAUACCAGUGGCGAAGGCGGCUUCCUGGCCUAAAACUGACGCUGAGGUGCGAAAGCGUGGGUAGCAAACGGGAUUAGAUACCCCAGUAGUCC
rnacentral:rRNA from 1 species